UACGAAGGGGGCUAGCGUUGCUCGGAAUCACUGGGCGUAAAGGGUGCGUAGGCGGGUCUUUAAGUCAGGGGUGAAAUCCUGGAGCUCAACUCCAGAACUGCCUUUGAUACUGAAGAUCUUGAGUUCGGGAGAGGUGAGUGGAACUGCGAGUGUAGAGGUGAAAUUCGUAGAUAUUCGCAAGAACACCAGUGGCGAAGGCGGCUCACUGGCCCGGUACUGACGCUGAGGUGCGAAAGCGGUGGGGAGCAAACGGG
rnacentral:rRNA from 1 species